UACGAAGGGGGCUAGCAUUGCUCGGAAUCACUGGGCGUAAAGGGCGCGUAGGCGGAUCUUUAAGUCGGGGGUGAAAGCCCAGGGCUCAACCCUGGAAUUGCCUUCGAUACUGAAGAUCUCGAGACCGGAAGAGGUAAGUGGAACUGCGAGUGUAGAGGUGAAAUUCGUAGAUAUUCGCAAGAACACCCGUGGCGAAGGCGGCCAGCUGGGCCGGGUCCGACGCUGAGGCGCGAAAGCGUGGGGAGCAAACAGG
rnacentral:rRNA from 1 species